UCCAAGCCUUUGAGUUGUGAAUGUGUUUCUGUUGGGAUAUUGAGAUUAAUUAAAUCUGUAAUUUUGUGGUGGAGAUGGAUAUACGGAAUUGAUGUAUAAAAGCAUUAGAUUGAUUGAAUUUGGGAUGUCUAUGAAUUUUAUUAAUACGGAAUUGAAAUGCUUCUGCAAUUUGUUUCGGGUUUACGGUAGUUGAACUAAAAUUUGCAGUCUUUCUUUAUGUUUAAAUAUCUGCAAAGGGAACUGGCAGAAAAGAAGAUGGGUAUUCCUAAUCCAGUAGUGAUCAAGCAGUUCCAAUUGACAAUGGAGGAAGUUGUUGAGCUGCUGAAGAACACAUUUGAGGUUAGACCCUAUUUCUCUUUCAAGUUUGCUCGAUCUGGGCUCUUAAAGUUUUGAACUUUUCUGAUAUGCAGCACCAGAUAAUGAAACCCUUUACUCAUUACAGUUUAAUCAUUUAGCCUUGCUUUUCUUUUGGAAAUUACUUACUGCUGAAUCUUAAAUCAGUUUUAUGGAUUUGAUCUGGGUCUCUGAUGUAUUGCAUUUUGGGCUUUUCCUCAUAUUUUGGGUUGUUAGAUUGAUUAGCAUGCAGUUCAUCUUCUAUGUUUCGAAGAGACUUGCUGUAUUUAUUAAUUAAUACUCAAUCAAUUUUCUGGCACUCUUCCUUCUGAGCUUGGUUAUCUGGUCAACUUGCUGACCUUGCUUUGUAGGAAGUGCAAUGAAACAUUCAGAAGACCGGAAGGGAAAGAUCAGAAAUGCUCAAGCGUCAAUCAAAUGUUGUACGAGCACUUAAAUGCAGCUCAAGACGUAAUUUCUACUUUCUGAAUGUAUAUGAAACUAUCAAAACCCUAGUAUUUUUUCCAGAAAGUGUAGAAUCAAAUGACAUCAACUUUGAAGCA